GGUUGGUCCCAGUGCAGUGGUAUUUACAACUAAGGGAUCACAACCAGUUACAGGCUUAUUUCUUCCUUCUCCACUCUCAUUGCUUCACUUGACUAGCCUGGA
ensembl:misc_RNA Y_RNA Y RNA